rnacentral:rRNA from 1 species
UCACGUGCUACAAUGGCAUAUACAGUGGGCAGCUAUUCCGCAAGGAUGCGCUAAUCUCCAAAAGAUGUCUCAGUUCGGAUUGUCCUCUGCAACUCGAGAGCAUGAAGCC